rnacentral:rRNA from 1 species
AGUGAACGCUGGCGGUAGGCCUAACACAUGCAAGUCGAACGGCAGCACAGUAAGAGCUUGCUCUUACGGGUGGCGAGUGGCGGACGGGUGAGGAAUACAUCGGAAUCUACUUUUUCGUGGGGGAUAACGUAGGGAAACUUACGCUAAUACCGCAUACGACCUACGGGUGAAAGCAGGGGAUCUUCGGACCUUGCGCGAUUGAAUGAGCCGAUGUCGGAUUAGCUAGUUGGCGGGGUAAAGGCCCACCAAGGCGACGAUCCGUAGCUGGUCUGAGUGGAUGAUCAGCCACACUGGAACUGAGACACGGUCCAGACUCCUACGAGAGGCAGCAGUGGGGAAUAUUGGACAAUGGGCGCAAGCCUGAUCCAGCCAUACCGCGUGGGUGAAGAAGGCCUUCGGGUUGUAAAGCCCUUUUGUUGGGAAAGAAAAGCAGCAGGUUAAUACCCCGCUGUUCUGACGGUACCCAAAGAAUAAGCACCGGCUAACUUCGUG